rnacentral:misc_RNA from 1 species
CAAUAAAUGAAGUAUAUCGUUUUACCUAAUUACGAUAUCAGCGGAUCUCUCGAGUUUAUGACUACACCACAUGGUUCUCUGGUAUCCAUUAAACUAGAUCAAUUUAAAGCAGUACAUCAAAGAUUGAUAUAUAGAUCUACUCAGUUUUUUAAAAUAUAUUCAUAAUGUCUGAUCGUAAAAGAAGACUAGAUGUUGACGGAUCUUCGUCAAAACGCAGCAGAGAAGAGGAAAUGCGAAAACAGGUCUUAUCGAACAGUCUCCAACUUCCUCCUCAAAUGGCAAUUACAAGUCUUAAAGAAACAUGCCCAAAAAUAAAUCCGUUUACACAAAAACCAUUUAGCGAACGUUUUUAUGCUAUACUUAAACGCAGACUACAGCUUCCAGUAUGGGAAUAUAGGGAUGAAUUUUUAAAGAUUACAAAAGAAAAUCAGUGUAUUGUCUUGGUUGGUGAAACUGGCAGUGGAAAAACAACUCAGAUUCCUCAGUGGUGCCUUGAUCUUGUUUCAAUGGGUCGACGUAAACAUGUUUGUUGCACACAGCCACGCAGAGUUGCAGCAAUGAGUGUUGCUCAGAGAGUAGCUGAUGAGAUGGAUGUUACUCUUGGACAAGAAGUUGGCUAUUCAAUUCGAUUUGAAGAUUGCUCAAGUGCUAGGACAGUAAUGAAAUAUAUGACUGAUGGUAUGUUGCUUCGAGAAGCUAUGACUGACCCUCUAUUAGACAGAUAUGGUGUAAUAUUACUCGACGAAGCACAUGAAAGGACAUUAGCUACUGAUAUUUUGAUGGGCUUAAUCAAAGAGGUUAUAAAACAAAGACCAGAUUUAAAGGUGAUUAUUAUGUCUGCAACCCUGGAUGCUGGAAAAUUUCAAGAUUAUUUUGAUAAUGCUCCUUUGCUGACCAUUCCAGGUCGAACAUUUCCUGUCGAAAUCUUCUAUACACCUGAACCAGAGCGAGAUUAUCUUGAGGCAGCUAUAAGAACUGUUGUACAGAUCCAUCUUUGUGAAGAACAAGAUGGGGAUGUUUUACUUUUUCUUACUGGACAAGAAGAAAUUGAUGAAGCGUGUAAACGCAUCAAAAAGGAAAUUGAUAAUCUUGGACCAGAAGUUGGAGAAAUGAAAAUUAUACCUUUAUAUUCCACUCUACCUCCACAACUUCAACAGCGUAUAUUUGAAAGUGCUCCUCCUACAAAGCCUAAUGGUGGAAUUGGUCGUAAAGUGGUGGUUUCAACAAAUAUUGCUGAAACAUCAUUGACAAUCGAUGGUGUAGUUUUUGUAAUAGAUCCUGGAUUUUCAAAACAAAAAGUGUAUAAUCCUCGUAUUCGUGUGGAGUCUCUUCUUGUAUCCGCUAUUUCUAAGGCUAGUGCUCAACAACGAGCUGGACGUGCAGGGAGAACAAGACCUGGAAAAUGUUUCAGAUUAUACACUGAGAAGGCAUAUAAAUCUGAAAUGCAAAGUAAUACAUAUCCUGAGAUUUUGCGAUCGAAUCUGGGUACUGUUGUGUUGCAACUUAAAAAAUUAGGAAUAGAUGAUUUAGUGCAUUUUGACUUCAUGGAUCCUCCUGCACCAGAAACACUUAUGAGAGCACUUGAGUUAUUAAAUUAUUUGCAAGCCCUUGAUGAUGAUGGUGAUCUUACAGAAUUAGGUUCUAUGAUGGCUGAGUUUCCGUUAGAUCCACAGCUAGCAAAGAUGGUUAUUGCAAGUACUGAUCAUAAUUGUUCAAAUGAAGCUCUUUCAAUUGUGGCCAUGUUAUCAGUCCAACAGAUUUUUAUGCGUCCAAAUGAUGCAAAGAAAGCUGCAGAUGAAGCCAAAAUGAAGUUUGCUCAUAUCGAUGGUGAUCAUCUAACAUUACUCAAUGUUUACCAUGCUUUUAAACAAAAUCACGAAGAAGCCCAAUGGUGUUAUGAUAAUUUUUUGAAUGUUCGGUCUCUUAAAUCUGCAGAUAAUGUUCGUCAACAGUUGGCGCGAAUCAUGGAUAGAUUUAGUUUAAAACGAACUAGUACAGACUUCAACAGUAGGGAUUACUAUGUUAACAUAAGAAAAGCUCUUGUAACUGGAUUUUUUAUGCAGGUGUGGUCAUACUUAAUCUAAUGUGUAAAAUAUCGUUGAUGUGCAACAGAUUGCUCAUUUGGAAAAGACUGGUCAUUAUUUGACAGUGAAAGACAACCAGGUAGUUCAACUGCAUCCUUCUACUUGUCUUGAUCACAAACCUGAAUGGGUUCUUUAUAAUGAGUUUGUGCUCACAA